GCUGUAUUAGCGCAACGCGCACGGGCUCGGUCUUUCUGUCCCGGACUUGGCGGCCGACCCACCCGAGCCGGUCUCCACUGCCCAGCCGUGCUGCUGCUGCCUCGGACACAAGCGCAGGUUAAAGACUACGGGAAAGAAACUCCUGAGCCGAAUGGCUCCCAGGUGAAGUACUCUUAACAUGUAGACCAGGCUUGCCUGUAUCCCACCAGAGGAUUAGUGUCAAAGCUGAAGUAGGUGAAGUCCAUUCACAGAGAAUGGGGGCCAUGUGAGAGUAUGCUUGAAUAGCCUUGCAGUACUAGAUUACACUGAAGGUAAUUUCCUAGAGUUUUUACCAAUGUACUAGGAUCCCACCCCUUCGCUGUAUGUCUGGCUGUGGUAGAAUCAGAUCCCACCUGGCUAUGACGUGUGGGGUUUUAAAGGUGCAAACAAAAGGGAUUUUAAUACGGUCGAGCUAUAUCGUUAGAAUGUUUGUAUCUGGUCUGCCUGCUAGGACAAGUAUUUUGCUCGUAGCCAGUCAUGUGCUAGCAGUCAGGGUGUUUUAACCUGUACAUUGUUGCCUGUGAGUAAUUUUCCAUAAUCUUGAAUAAAGGCGUUUCUUGUGUCAACUCCA